AUGCAAUGUAAUUCCUACAACGUUAAUGCACCAGAUCCCAUUAGAACUCCACAAUUAAGCAUGCUUGGGCUAGAGUAGUACUGGGAUAGGUGACCUCCUAGGAUGUCGUAGUGUUUUUCAUG
rnacentral:rRNA from 1 species